ACUCAAGAAAAGAAUCUUAGUUCAACCUAAAGCAACCACAAUACCACAAAAUAAUCCCUUCCACUUUAGAGUUACUCAAUUAAGUUACAGCUUAAUUGAGACAGGACACAACCUUUACCCCUGGGUAAUGUGCAUAAGUAUUAAUCAAGUAGGCCUAAGAGCAGCCAUCUUUCAAAAAGCGUCAAAGCCUUAUUUAUCCUCUACUCAAACACCCAAAACAAAUCAAAACCCUACCCCAGUACUGAGUAAUUCUAUACUUGUAUAGAAAAUAUAAUGUUAAAACUAGUAACAAGAACUCCCAUUCUCUUAAAUGUACAUGUAAGCCAGCCCGGAUAAGCCACUGAUAGUCAAAUAGCCUUAAACUAUAGUAACACCAAUACAAGAAAACCUUACUAAAACCGCUAUUAACCUAACACAAGAACAUUUUAAGAAAGACUAAAAGAAAAAGAAGGAACUCGGCAAACAUUGACUCCGCCUGUUUACCAAAAACAUCACCUCAUGACCACCCAUAAGAGGCCCAGCCUGCCCAGUGACAAUUUCAACGGCCGCGGUAUCCUAACCGUGCAAAGGUAGCGUAAUCACCUGUUUCUUAAUCAGAGACCUGUAUGAAUGGCACCACGAGAGUCAGACUGUCUCCUUUUUCCAGUCAGUGAAACUAAUCUUCCUGUGAAAAAGCAGGAAUUUUUUAACAAGACGAGAAGACCCUUUGGAGCUUAAGACAAAUAAAAUCUUAUGCCACUCCAUCACACAUACCCCGCAACACCAAAUUUUAAUAGUCUUCAGUUGGGGCAACUACGGAGUAAAAACAAUCCUCCAAGAUGCAACGGAAUUUUCCUAAACAAAAAGCCACAGCUUUAUGUAUCAAUAAAAUGACAUUAUUAGACCCAAUAUUUUGAUUAACGAACCAAGUUACCCAAGGGAUAACAGCGCAAUCCACUCUAAGAGCCCCUAUCGACGAGUGGGCUUACGACCUCGAUGUUGGAUCAGGGCAUCCCAGUGGUGUAACCGCUACUAAAGGUUCGUUUGUUCAACGAUUAAAGCCUCACGUGAUCUGAGUUCAGACCGGAGUAAUCCAGGUCAGUUUCUAUCUGUUAAGAGUUUUUUCCAGUACGAAAGGACAGAAAAAACAUGGCCAAUGCCCCCUCACACGCCAUAAUAAUAAAUCUUGACCCUCUUAAAACCCUACUAAUCUUCACUCACAAAACCCCCCUCAAGAAAAGAGCC
rnacentral:rRNA from 1 species